UCCACAAUUCACAACACUCUUCUUCUAGAACCUUCUUCUCAAUCCCCUCUUUCAAUUCUGUUACCUGCAUUCUUCCCACUGAACCUCACAACAACCACAUCCUGCAUUUAUCAACAUUUUUUACUAAGAGGAAGCUCCAUCUUACUCUUCUUCUCACAACUUUUCUUUCGAGCAAUUUAUCAAACACUAGUGGUUCAUUCUUGAUGGCUCAAGAGUUGGACUUGGAGCUUCACAGAUACACUGAUUCGAAGGAAGGUUUCACUCUUCUUAUACCGUCUUCUUGGACUAAGGUUGAUAAAGCUGGGGCAACUGCUUUGUUUCAAGAUGCAAGUAUGGGGAGCAACAACAUUGGGGUUGUCGUGAACCCGGUUCGUCUUGCAAACUUUGGAGACUUCAGGAGCCCCAAGUUUGUAGCUGAUAAGCAUUUGCAAGCAGAAAGGUGUAAGGAAAUCAAGAAAGAAGAAGAAAAAGAAGAAGAAGAAGAAGGAGGAGAAGAAGAGAAGAAGAAGAAUGAAUGAAGAGCAAUCAGAUUCUGCAAUGAUGGAUCCGUGGGAUAUGAUGGAUCCGUGGGAUAUGAUAGACCUGGAUGCCGAUGAACCACCGCAGUUUCACUUUGAGUCUCCGUCUCUGCCUGAGCCGGUCUGGAAUGGGGACGAAAACAAGAUUUUUGUUGCCAAUGUAGGUGGUUAUCAACCACCUCAGCCCCAGCCCCAGCCCCAGCCGUGUGCCAUGGACGUGAGUGGUAAUCAACCUCCUCAGCCGGUUAUUCAUGAGUGUUUGCCGGAAGCUAUGGAGAACCGCCGGCGGAAGGAGGAAGCUAUGAAGAUGACAGAGCAGUAUUAUGGAAGCCCAUUAUCUGGUUAUCAACCAUUUCAGUCUGAGCCUCAGCCGUUUGCCAUUGACGAAAAUGUUGUGUUUAAGAAAAGGAAUCCAAGCAAGAAGCUUAUUAAGAAGACUUAAAGCAAGAAUGAGUCAAGAGAAUUCACAUAUGUUGAAGAUGAUGGAGGCGGAGCUGUUUGCCGACGACCACAAUGUGGGUGGUAAUCCACCGCCUCAGCUUCAGCCUCAGCUUGAUUGGGAUAUGGAGAAGAUGUGACGUCGGUGGUCAUCAACCACUUCAACCUCAACUUCAGCCCAAGCUGCAGUCGGAUAAUCAGCCAUCUCAUUCUUGGGACGACAACAAGUAGUUCGAUGAGUGUUUGCCGGAAGCUAUGGAGAACCGCCGGCGGGAGGCGGAAGCUAUGCAGAUGACAGAGCAGUCGGAUAAUCAACCACCUCAUUCUUGGGACUACAAUAAACAUUUCGAUGAGUGUUUGCCAGAAGCUAUGGAGAAUCGCCGGCAGGAGGCGGAAGCUAUGAAGAUGACAGAGUACUAUUAUGGAAGCCCAUUAUCUGGUUAUCAACCACUUCAGUCUGAGCCUCAGCCGUGUGCCAUUGACGUGUGUGGUAAUCAACCACCUCAGCUACUGUCUCAGCCUCAUCCUUGGUCUCGGCCACUUCAGUCUGAGCCUCAACUGAUCAUCAUCACUGCAAGGAGGUAGUGCUGGCCGCAGAGGAGGAGGCAGCACCAACAAAGAGUGGAUCUCAUUGGACCCCAGAUGAGCAUAGGUUAUUUCUUAGAGGGUACCAACAAGAAGGUUUACACUGGACAAGAAUUUCAGAAUAUUAUGGCAAAACAAAAACUCCUAGUCAAAUUUCCAGUCAUGCUCAGAAAUAUUUUUUACAUCAAAAAGAAUUAGCAGAAGGAAAAAAGCUAAGGAAAAGCAUUUUUGAUGUAAUUUGAUCAUCAAAUUGUGCCCUAAUCCGAGGUUUUUAAUGGAUGGAGGAUUUGCUUAUAGGAGGAAGAACAUGUAAAUGGUCUAAAGAUUUUUAUUUAGGUUGCACAUAUCUAGUUCGAGUUAGUUGUUAGCUAGUUUUGUAAAUGAACAAUGACCAGAAGAUAGGUUUGAAAAAAUACUGAUGUAGGAACAUGCGAUCAUUAUAGAUAUAAUUGUGAUUCAUAACCCUUUUAUCAAUAAUAUUUGAUUUUCUAGUUCUCCGGCCUUGAUGGCAAUGUCGAAGGGGAUGGUGAACUGGAUUUUAUCUAAAGUCUGAUGGCUAUGCUGAAGGGACUUUUGGUAGAAAAGAUGUAUCUUUUUAAAAGAUUAUUAGUUUCAAAUAUAUUAAUUAAACAUAUAUGUAAAAAAAUUUUAAAAGUAUUUCAUCCAUAAAAAUUAGUUAUAAAAUAUUUUUAAGUAAUUUUAUACUUUUAUUAAUGAUGACUUCUUUUUCAUAUUUUAUUUGGUUGUCAUUGAAGUUGAGAGUUAGUAUAAGAAGAGCUUGACACUAAUUAGAUUAUAGACAAAGUAUUUGAUACUAAUUAGCUUGUUAAGUAUUUACACAAUUACUCCAAUUAACUUGCUGUGCUGUAUUUAUAUGAUGCCAGUAAUAAGAUUUUGUUUUAUUAAUGUUAUUAUUGCCUCUUUUUUAUGAACGAGAAUAAGUGACUUUUGUAACAACACUUUUGUUCUUAUUUAUCGCGAAAAUCAUAUUUACCUUGACAGCCUUAAAUAAGAAAAUGAAGACAAGAUUUAAUAGAGUUAUCUGUUGUUCAUAGAAGAAAAUUAUUUUCAUUCCAUAAAUGAGAAAAGAAAAGGCAAAUUCAUAGAACAUACUUCAAUUUAAGCUAUAUAUUUUCCAUGAUAUCUUUCUAUGUUAUAUAGUGUGUACACUUUCUAUAUAUAAUUAUUGAAUAAAUUUUUAUGUAAGUUGUUUUAUUUGAUCACAAUAAAUAUGAUUCCCAAUUUAUCUACUCCUUGAAGAGAUCAGUUAUUUUCAUAUUCUUUGCCACCAUCAUUGAUUUUUUUAUUGAAAUUGUUCAUUAAAUAUGCCAGUUUUUACUUGUCCUACUUAUUUCAUCUAUUUUUUGUUCUCGUGCUUGAGUAGUGUUCAAGCCAUUCUUUCUCUUUUGAUUUCCCAUUAAUCUUUUUAUGCCAUUUUUCCUUGGAGAACGUUUGCCAUAGGUAUUUUUCUCAACUCCUUGCUUCACCUCUUUGUUUCAUUGUAGAACCUUUAAGAUCUUGAGUGGACUUGGCGCUUUAGUUUAAUUUAGUGCAUUAUUCUUGUUAUGAUUCCAAUAAGCUAAUUUAGCUACGAGAGUUUAAUUUAAUUUACACUUGAAGCUAUUUUGUUGCUGCGUUACAUCAUCAGUUUUUACUUUUUAUGGUAGACAAGAUUCACUUCAAUUUUUUUUUUACUUAGAAUUUGAUGCAUAUGUUGCUCCUAGUAAGCAAUGAAUGUUAUUU